GCGGUGGGGCCGCGGACUCCGCUCCCGUCAGCAUCCUCCCGGGCACCCAUCCCGGUCCACUGCCCACCCUUUCCCCGACCUGGACCUCGCCCGCAGCUUGCUCUCGGCCGUUCUGUCCUCGAGGUGCCCCGCUGUGCCCGGCAGACCUGCAGACAGACGCGAGACAGGGGUGGGUAGCCAUCAAGUCUCCGUGAGGAUCUUUAGAUUGUUUCUUCAAACCCAGGCUGUCUAUUGCUGAUAUGGAGCUCAUUUAAGAAAAAGUGCUCUCAAGAGGGAAUAAGGUGGAGUGGUUCUGCCAUGGCAACAAGCCCUUGUUAUAAAGGAAUGUGGUCUGCCACUUUGUACGUGGUUCAGUUCUUGAUAUGUGCACAGUCUGUAAACAUCUUCUACCAUUGUCUUGCUGAUGAAUAAGGAAGGAUUAACAGGAAAAGGAACUGUGGGAUGUGUUUUCCUUUCUCUUCUUUGUCAUCAUUUUCAACAUAACUGGUUGGUGAAUACAGGAAAGUGAUACAUAUAAGAAAAGAUAUGGCUUGGUUUCUUGGUGAUUUGUGAUUUUUAUAAUGUGAUUCUGUGUUUGUAAUAAGUUCUCAAUGGAACCAAAAGGGGGGGGGCUCUCCUGGUUAUCAUUAAUCAUAGACGUAAUUUGCUUUUAUUUGUUCUGAAUCUUGCUGAAAUCCCAUGUAUCGAGGGAGUUUUGUGCUCACGGAGCAUGAGGAAUAUAAGCGGGGCAGUAAGGAUGGCACACACAUAUAUUGUUGUACCUCCUUUCCUAUUAAUUUGCCAAUACCACACUGUCUUCAUUUCUGCAGCCUUCCAUGAAGGCUCAAGUUUAGGUUUAAGUCCUCCAAUAUUGUUCUUUUUCAAGAUUAUUUUGACUUUCAUAGAUCCCAUGCAUUUCCUUUCAAAUUUUAGAAUUAGCUUAUUGCUUUUCACCAAAAAAAGUCAACUGGGAUAUUAAUUGGAAUUACACUGAAUAUACAUGAUCACAUGUUUGAUAGUAUUGAGUCUUUGCUACAUGAACAUGGUAUACUUUAUCAUUUUUUUAGAUCUUCCAAAUUACCCUCAGUAAUUUUGUAAUUUUCAUAUAUUUCAUAAAAUUUAUCCCUAAUUCUUGUGUUUUGAUGUCAUUACAACUCAAUUCACUUAUUUUUAUAACUAAAUUCUAGUAGGGCAUUCUUUUUACAUUCUCAUGCUAUCCCUGCAAAUAAGGGCAUUUUUAUUUCCUUUCCUAUUUACAUACCUAUUUUCCCUUGCCUUGUUGUACUAACUAGGAUUUCCAUUAUAUUGUUGAACAGCAGUGGUGAGAACACACAUCUUUCAGUUUUUCAUUCUUAAGUAUGUCAGCUGUGGUUUUUUCAUAAAUGCCUUAUUUCAGCCUGAGGAUUUUCUUUUCUGUUCAUAAUUUCCUGAGAGAUUUUAUUAUAAAUGGGGGUGAUUUGUCUUUUAUCAAAUGCUUUUUCUAUAUCUGCUGAGAGAUGGUCAUAAUUUUCUCCCUUAUUAUGUUAAUAUAUUGAAUUACAUUGACUUUUGAAUGCUCAACCAACUUUGCUUUCCUGGGAUAAACCUUAUUUGGUCAUGAUGUAUUUAUAAAGUUUUUAUAGAUGACUGGAUUCAAUUUCCAAAAAUUUUAAAAGAACUUUUGCAUUUGGGCCUCCCUGGUGGCGCAAGGGGUUAAGACACAACCUAUGAAGCUAUCCGCAGCCACUGCAGCACAAGUUUGAUCCCAGGCCAGGGAGCUACCCACAUGGCGCAGCAACCUCUCCUGUCUCACCCGCUGCUCCCCUCAGCAGUGUAUUUCAGUCUGCCUGUUCUGUUCCCCACUCUGUCUCUGGUGAAUCCUGUCACCCCCCCCAACCUGUACCCCAGUUCUUGUAUGCAUAAAUAAAUAAAUCUUUUUUAAAAAAAAGAACUUUUGCAUUUAUAUUCAUGAGGUAUAUUGGUCCUCAUUUUCUUACAAUGUUUUUGUUUUAGUAUCAGGAUAAAUCUGGCCUCAUUAUACAUAGAAUAGACUAUUUCAUCUACUUUCUGAAAGAGUUUGUUUAAAAUUGUUAUUUCAUCCUUAAAUGUUUGCCAAAAUUCACUAGUGAAGACAUCUGGGCCUGGAGUUUUCUUGGAAGGUUUUUAAUAACAAAUUGAUUUUAUUUCAUAGACAUAGGCAGUGGCACGCUGGAGCUGCCUUGUACCGGCUAAUGAGAGCUGAUUGUUUUCAUCUCUGAACAAAUCCUUAUUCAGUGAUGUCACAUUGAUAGACUGAAAAUGGCUGUGGUUUAUACCAUGGAAAUUAAAUAGGCUUACGAAUCAGGGGCUUUAUUUUCUUCCGGAAACCUGGUGGCUAAAUGCUGCUUUUUGUGUGCAGGUUUUCUAUUUACUUUUUGAGUGAAUUUGGUAAUUUGUGUCUUACAAGGAAUUUGACAAUUUUAUCUAUGUUACUGAGUUGAUUAGCAUAAAGUUGCUCAUGUAUUUCCAUCUGUCCUUUAAAUGUUUGGAAGAUCUGUAAUGAUGGCCCCUUUUCAUUUAUUUUAAAAAAAGUUUUAUUGAGAUAUUAUUGUUCCCAUACUAUACAAUUUACCCACUAAAAGUGUACAGUUGAGUAGUUUUUUUAAAGAUUUAUUUAUUUAUGCAUACAAGAACUGGGGUGUAAACCAGAGGUGCAGGGGGGAUGAGAGGAUUCACCAGAAAGAGUGGGGAGCAGGACAGGCAGAUCUACUGAAAUACACUGCUGAGGGGAGCAGCAGGCUAGACAGGAGAGGUCUGCUGCCCUUUGUGGGUUGCUCCCUGGCCAGCCAGGGGAUCAAACUUGUGCUGCAGUGGCUGCUGAUAACUUGAUAGUGCUGUCUUUAACCCUUGCACCACCAGGGAGGCUCCCAGUUGAGUAGUUUUUAAAUACAGUUGACCCUUAAACAAUACAGGGGUUGCUGACCUCCCUGCAUAGUCAAAAAUCCAUUUAUAACUUCUGACUACCCCAAUAUUAAGCUAUAGUUUUCUCUUGAUAUCUGCAGGGGUUUGGUUUCAGGAUCCCAAGGAUACCAGAAUCCUUGGAUGCUCAAGUCACAUAUAAUUGACCCUUAUAUCUGCAGAUCCUGUAUCUGCAGAUUCAACCAACUGACAUCCCCAGUUUGUUGAAUCUGUGAAUGAAAAUGCAGGAAUAUAAAAAAAAAAAUUCACUUAGAAAUGGCCCUUGCAGUUCAAACCCCUGUUCUUCAAGGGUCAACUGUAUAUUCAGAAACCUGAAUGACUAUCACCUCAAUCAAUAUUAGAGCACCUUCAACUCAAAAAGAAAGCCCAUGUCCUUUAGUUAUUCAACCCUCAUCCCCAUCCCCAAUAUCCCCAAGCUUGGGCAACUGCUAAUCUUCCUGACUAUGGAUUUGCCUAUUCUAGACUUUUCAUAUAAAUGGAAUCAUGUAACUUGUGGUCUUUUGUGACUGGCUUCUUAGCAAAAUGUUUUCAAGAUCUGUCCAUGUUGUAACAUGUAACAAUAAUUUAUUGUGUUUUAUGACCAAAUAAUAUCUCAUCAUUUGGAUAUGCCAGUUUUUUUUUAAUCCAUUCAUCACUUGAUGGACGUUUGGAUUGUUUUCACUUUUUGCUAUUAUGAAUAAUGAUGCUAUUAACACUCAUGUACAAGCUUUUUUUUUUUCCUUGAGUAUAUAAGUAGGAGUGGAAUUGCUGAUUCAAAUGGUGACUGUUGAAUAUUUAGACUCAUCAGUUUCUUCAAAGAUUUACUCAGGCAUUCUUAGAGGGAUUGCAUGUAAUCUGUAGUUCAGUUUGGGAUUUAUUGCCAUUUUAACAAUAUUAAGUCUUCCAAUCCAUGAACAAUCCUUGUACUUUCAUUAAAUUUGGCCCUGAGCCUCCCCAGUGGCGCAGCUGUUGAGCGCUGGGUUGCGAAGCUGCCCGCAGCCUCUGCAGCGCCAGUUCGAUCCCCGGCCACCAGCGAGGGUCCCGCAUGGUGCGCAGACCUCUCCUGCCGCCCGCUGCUCCCCUCAGCAGUGUACUUCGUCAGUCUGUCUGUUCUGUUCUCCGCUCUGGCUCUGGUGAAUUCUCUCACCCUCCUGUGCUUCUGACUGUACCCAG